GGAAGGUGGCGGUGGCCGUGUCCUGCCGGGAGCCCUACCUGUGUGCCCAGUGCCACACGGACUUCACGUGCCGCUGGCGGGAGGAGAAGAACGGCACCAUCAUGUGCGAGACCUGCAUGGCCUCCAACCAGAAGAAGGCCCUGAAGGCCGAGCACACGAACCGGCUCAAGGCCGCCUUCGUCAAGGCCCUGCAGCAGGAGCAGGAGAUCGAGCAGAGGAUCCUGCAGCAAACGGCCCCGCCCGGGCAGCCCAAGGCCGAGCCCGUGGGGCAGCACCACGCGCUCAAGCAGGUGAGGGAGAGGCCCAGGGCCGCCAUUUCCUGAGGGAAAAGGGUCCCUCAGGAAAAGGGUUGGGGUGGGGCCUGCGGGGUUUGGGCCGUGGGUUGGGUUUAGGGUGGGAGGGUUGGGUGUUGUAUCAGGCUCUAGAGAUUGUCCUGGCCCAGAGAGCAUCCAGUCAUGGAGAUUGUCCAGUCCCAAAAAUCAUCCAAUCCCAAAGGUCAUCUAAUCCCAGAGAGCAUCCAGUCCCAGAGAGCAUCCAAUCCCAAAAAUCAUCCAGUCCCUAAAAUCAUCCAGUCUCCAAAAUCAUCNNNNNNNNNNNNNNNNNNNNGAGGUGGUGGAAGGGUUGGAGGAGGUGAGGAAGGGUUGGAGGAGAUGGUGGAAGGGUUGGAGGAGGUGGUGGAAGGGUUGGAGGAGGUGGUGGAAGGGUUGGAGGAGGUGGUGGAAGGGUUGGAGGAGGUGCUGGUGGGGUUUGGGGGGAAAUUGAAAUUUUGGGGUGGGUUUGAAGGUAUUUAAAGAGUUUGUAGGAUUUCAGGCUAAAUUUUAGCAGGGUUUUAGAUGAAAUUUUCAGGGUUUUGGACGAUUCGCAGGAUUUGGGCCAAAAACUUCAGUAAUUCUGCCCAGUUUUUUGUGAUUUCAGUCAGGAUUUUCAGGAUUUUGGCCCAAAAUGUUGGGUUCUUCUGGGUGCAGGAUUUUGGCCAAUUCUCAGGAUUUCAGCCAAAAAUUUCAAUAUUUCCUCCCAUUUUUUUGUGAUUUCAGUCAGGAUUUUCAGUCUUUCAGCCCAAAACAUUGUGUCCUGCUGGGUGCAGGAUUUUUGGCCAGUCCUGGCUGGGUGCAGGAUUUUGGUCGAUUCUCAGGAUUUUUGGCCGAUUUGCAGGAUUUUUGGCCAAUUCUCAGGAUUUUGGCUGAUUCUCAGGAUUUUUGGCCGAAUCUCAGGAUUUUUGGCCGAUUCUCAGAAUUUUGGCCGAUUCUCAGGAUUUUUGGCCGAUUCUCAGGAUUUUUGGCCAAUUCUCAGGAUUUUGGCCAAUUCUCAGGAUUUUUGGCCGAUUCUCAGGGUUUUCACCCAAUUCUCAGGAUUUUGGCCGAUUCUCAGGAUUUUCACCCGAUUCUCAGGAUUUUUGGCCGAUUCUCAGGAUUUUCACCCAAUUCUCAGAAUUUUUGGCCGAUUCUCAGGAUUUUGGCCGAUUCUCAGGAUUUUUGGCCAAUUCACAGGAUUUCACCCGAUUCUCAGUAUUCCAGCCAAACUUUCCACCAUUCCCACCCGUUUUUUUUGCGGUUUCAGUCGGGAUUCUCAGCCUCCCAGCUGUGUCCUGCUGGGUGCUGAGGCAGGGGGUGCCUUGCAGGGAAGAGCGCCCCGGCGGUGCCGCGCGUGGAGCCCUUCGUGUGCGCGCAGUGCCGCACGGACUUCACGCCGCACUGGAAGCAGGAGAAGGGCGGGCGGAUCCUGUGCGAGCAGUGCCAGACCUCCAACCAGAAGAAGGCGCUCAAGGCCGAGCACACGAAUCGCCUCAAGAACGCCUUCGUCAAGGCCCUGCAGCAGGAGCAGGUGGGAAUCGUGGGAGCGCCCCUUCCCGGGGCUCCUCCCACCCCAAAACACCCCAAAACACCCCAAAACAGCCUGUCCCAUCCCGUGCCGUUAUCCCCAUCCCAAUGAUCCCAUUGAUCCCACCCCAUUGAUCCCAUCCCAUUCCAUUAUCCCCAUCCCAAUGAUCCCAUUGAUCCCAUCCCAUUGUUCCCAUUGAUCCCGCCCCAUUGAUCCCAUCCCAUUCCAUUAUCCCCAUCCCACUGAUCCAGUUGAUCCCAUCCCAUUGAUCCAGUUGAUCCCAUCCCAUUGAUCCCACCCCACUGAUCCCAUCCCAUUCCAUUCCGUUAUCCCAAUCCUACUGAUCCCAUUGAUCCCACCCCAUCGAUCCCAUCCCACUGAUCCCAUUGAUCCCGUCCCAUUAAUCCAAGUGAUCCCAUCCCAUUGAUCCCAUUGAUCCCACCCCAUUGAUCCCAUCCCAUUCCAUUAUCCCCAUCCCACUGAUCCCAUUGAUUCUAUCCCAUUCCAUUGAUCCCAUCCCACUGAUCCCAUUGAUUUCAUCCCGUUGAUCCCAUCCCAUUGAUCCCAUGGAUCCCACCCCAUUGAUCCCAUCCCACUGAUCCCGUCCCAGCCAGGGUGGCAUUCCUGAGGAAUUGAGCAGGGUGGCAUUCCCAUGGGCAUUGAAUGGGAUGACAUUCCCACAGGUGGCAGCAUUCCCACAGGUGGCAUUCCCAAGGGAUGGCAUUCCCGGUGCCAUUCCUGGUGCCGUUCCCGGUGCCGUUCCCGGUGCCAUUGCCGUGGC
ensembl:lncRNA